GCCUUCGUGACGUAAUGGUAGCACACUUAGCUCGUAUUCGAGAUGUCCAAGUUCAAGUCUUGGCGAGGGCA
rnacentral:tRNA from 1 species